GCCUGGGUGGCGGAACUGGUUUACGCGCAGCACUCAAAAUGCUGUGGGAGAAAUCCCAUGUGGGUUCGAGUCCCACCCCAGGCA
rnacentral:tRNA from 1 species